GGAUUUUUCUCGGAGUUUUUACGCAGAGCUCUAAUUGGCCCAACUUUCUUCUUGCCAAAGCAAAAAAUAUAUAACGUUUCUUGUCCAGUGUUUCUUAUCCAAUCUUCUAUAUAUAGGCCUUCACCUUCCCUCAUCUAGCACAAACUAUUUUCUUUUCACUUCCAAUCUCAUCAAACCUCUGUACCUCAGAGCAAACAGCAGACAUGGCUAAUGGUGAUUCUCAUGAUUUUGCUUCUCUCCUCUCUUCUUCUGAGAGGGAUUUCCUCAUUCGAAACAACGGUGAUCAGGUUAAGAUUGACAGCUUGAAGGGAAAGAAGCUGGCAUUAUAUUUUUCAGCAUCAUGGUGUGGCCCAUGUCAGCAAUUCACCCCAACCUUGGUGGAGGCUUACAAUGAACUUGCACCAAAAUGUGACUUUGAGAUUGUUUUCAUCUCAGCCGAUGAAGAUGAUGAAUCAUUCAAAAAUUAUUUUUUGAAGAUGCCAUGGCUUGCAAUUCCGUUCUCUGAUUCAGAGAUACGCGAUCACUUGGAUGAGCUAUUCAAGGUGCAGGGAAUACCCCACCUUGUGAUCCUUGAUGAAAGUGGGAAAGUUUCAUGUGAAAGUGGUGUUGAGAUCAUUCAGGAGUAUGGAGUUGAAGGUUAUCCUUUUACACCAGAAAAGAUCAAAGAAUUAAAAGAGCAAGAAGAAGAAGCCAGAAGGAAUCAACCUUUGAGAUCUAUCUUGGUUUUCCAUUCACGUGACUAUCUAAUUUCAUCCGAUGGAAAGAAGAUACCUGUCUCUGAACUUGAAGGGAAGACAGUAGGCCUGUAUUUCUCAUUGUCUUCAUACAAAUCGUGUGUUGAUUUUACUCGAAAGCUUGCUGAAGUUUAUGAGAAAUUGAAAGCACAGGGAGAGAAAUUUGAAGUCGUGUUCAUUUCACUGGAUGAUGAUGAAGAAGCUUUCCAGCAAUCCUUAGCAAACAAACCCUGGUUAGCAUUGCCUUUCAAGGACAAGUGCUGUGGGAAGUUAGUCCGGUAUUUUGAACUCUCAACUGUGCCCACUCUGGUUGUUAUUGGACCAGAUGGAAAAACUCUCCAUUCCAAUGUUGCUGAAGCCAUUGAAGAAUAUGGAAUUCAGGCAUACCCUUUCACCCCUGAAAAGUUUGCAGAGCUUGCGGAGAUAGAGAAAGCCAAAGAAGCUGCCCAAACCCUGGAAUCAGUUUUGGUUUCAGGGGACUGGAAUUUUGUCAUUGCGAAAGAUGGAGCAAAGAUUCUGGUGUCUGAUCUGGUUGGGAAGAACAUGCUCCUUUAUUUCUCAGCACAUUGGUGCCCUCCAUGCCGAGCCUUUCUGCCUACGCUCAUUAAAGCAUACCAAGAGAUUAAGGCAAAAGAUGAUGCAUUUGAAGUGAUUUUCAUCUCUAGUGACAGAGACCAAGCCUCUUUUGAUGAAUACUUUGCAGAGAUGCCAUGGUUGGCACUUCCCUUUGGAGAUGAGAGGAAGGCAUCAUUAAGUCGCAAAUUCAAGGUUCGAGGCAUACCCAUGCUUGUAGCUCUUGGGCCAACUGGCCGAACUAUCACAAAAGAAGCCAGAAUGCU
rnacentral:misc_RNA from 1 species